GAUCGCUAAGUCUCUGAUCCCGUCACUUCCUGCUCGAUUCGCUUGGCUCCUGUGCUGAUUUCUCUUUGGUUUCCCAGGUUUGUUGUGGUUGCAGAAUGGCGCAGAGGAAUUGGGAAGCGGACUAUGGACAUGAUGCGUGAUGUGCACAUCCAUGACUAUUUUCUCAAGUGAAACAUCCAAACGGCCAACCUGUUCAUGGUGGAGGGGGCCAUGCCUGCUAAGUCCUCCAAUUCAUACUCAGGCUGGCUGCUGGGGCGAGCUGACCAUGAUGCUCUGCGAAGGCGAGUUAUCCAUGGAAUUCACACAACAUUCCAGCGUUCUCGUUGGCAGGUCUCUGCUCUUCUCCAUGUCCACGGGGACAGUGCGUCCAUCGUGGAGCAUGACCUGGCAAGUCGCGACCUGACUCUGCUCGGCCAACUAGACAAGCACUAUAAGCACAGAUGCUGUCAAGGAUGGGGAUUUUUGUCAACGCCUUUGAAUGCGUUAGCCACAACCUCAAGAUCAGGGCUCCUUGUUAUGGAGAAGGUGCUCUCGAGGGUGUAGCACACUCAACAAACAUGAAUGUGCCUUGCUAUCCAAAGAUUCUCCUGAUGAUGUUCCUAAGAGGGCACCAAAUGAAGAAUCGGCGAAGGGUACAACCCGCAAAGAUGAUGCUGGGAACCUUUGACCUCUGGUAGCAAUGUUGAUGGUGCUUCACCUUCAGAGAAGGCUGGUGAGUUUUUCUAUUCAGCUCAAAGAAGCGCUGUAGCACAAGAGAGGCAAUUAGUAGCAAAUCAGUCUGGUCAGAAUUCACCGGAGAGUCCUUCCUUAGAGCAGGAUUCUCAAUCGGCAGCUGAAAGAUUAGUGAGACUGACUGAUGCUGAACAUGUACCAUCUGUUCCAUGUGAGAGAAAUAGCAUGUCGAUAUCAUCUUGAAAUAAUCACAGCUGGGAGGACGAGGUUGGUAGCUGAGGAUGAUGUGUAGAGCGGGAGGAAGGAGGUGUGAGGCUUGGAACUCUCCUUGUGAAGUGCUCAGGGACAGCGGUGAGGAGCAUGGCAGGUGUCCAACUUGACCUCCUCGGCAACAGCAGCAACAAGGGUGGCCGUGGCGACAAGGGAGGAGAUAACAACCAGCAGAGCAAUGAAAUCGCUAAGUCUCUGAUCCCGCCACUUCCUGCUCGAUUCGCUUGGCUCCUGCGCUGAUUUCUCUUUGUUUUCCCAGGUUUGUUGUGGUUGCAGAAUGGCGCAGAGCAACUGGGAAGCGGACUACGUCUACGGACAUGAUGCGUGAUGUACACAUCCAUCACUACUAUUUGCUCAAGUGGAUCAUCCAAACGGCCAACCUGUUCAUGGUGGAGGGGGUGAUGCCUGCUAAGUCCUCCAAUUCAUGUUCAGGUGCAACCUGGAAUGAUUGGGUUUAUGACAUUGGGUGGCAGUAUAAUUCUCAUGCUGACGACAAUUAUUUUUUUGACGAGGAUUCAGUGGUUGUCUGUGGCAUGUGUUCAACUAGGAACUCAUCAUUAUUGGAGUCUUUCAUCUGUAUAUACCAAAGCACGGCGGGAGAAGAAGCAGAUUGAUUGAUGAAGGAAACACAUGAAAAAGAGGAAAAGAGCAGCUAAAUGAUUGAUGGGGCAUGUGACUUAUCCCUGUUGGUUCUCCUUUCCGCAAAUUAAACCAAUAAUCAAUAUUGUCAGUUUGAGAGUAUGCUGGAUGUGAGAGUUAAUGAAGAAGAUCACUCAUGCUGUUGAAAGUACACAAGCAGUCACUGUUAAGGUCUACCGAAAAACAUGACAUGUUUUUGACAAAGUCUACAUGACAUAUGACUAAGACAAGACUCAUGCCAUAAGGUUCUCCAAAAUCCUUUGUUCAAGCAGAAAAACCUUUUUACACAACAACCUCAUUUUUCUCCAGUUUGGGGAUGGCAACAGUUCUACUCACAAUGGUGCUGCAUGCUGGAAGUACUCAUUAUCCUGUUGGCUCUACUCUGGUGAGUUCUCCCCUAUUGCCCUCUUUGAUUAUUUGCCUCCAUGUGCCGAACCUGAUCCCCCUUCAAAGUUUAUCAUGGUUUUAGCGGUAGUAUGACUGGUUUACAUUUUGUAAUUUUCAUGUUCGCUAGAAAGUGUUUGCUAUGAAAUUGAGAUUAUUGAGACGAAUGUUGUUAUAUAAGGUCACACAUGUUUCUUACCUUUAUAAUUGGGUGAUCAACUAAUGGCCUUCGUUAUAUGGUGCGCUUCGAUCCUCCCCCAAGGAAUAAAGUCUGCAUCGUCUAUUUUGGUUUAUUUAAAUCCUUGCCAAAUAUUUUCUUUUGAGGAAAAUCCUUGCAGAAUGUUAAUGCCAUCAUAUGCUCUAAUUCUCUGGUAGGCUGAUUCGACGUGCUUAUUUGACAAUUCAACCGUUACUUACUAAUAGUUCUUGGUACGGA